CUUAGCUGUUAGGUUUGCCUACACUAAUCCUGAGGUUUAAUUAUCUGUGUUGCUUUAAAAGUUGUGAAAAGAUCAAAAGCUGUUUUGACAAAGAGUGAAGCUGAGGUGCAGCAGCCCUGUGUACAGUGUCAUGACAGUAUCCCCACACCUGGCUGCAUAGAUCUUUCUGUGGAAAGAACUAGUCAUAAUCUUCUGUUUACGUACAAGGAGGAGAGGCAGCCCAGAAGCGAAGCGCCUGUAUGCCAAAGAGCACUGAACCAAGUAAAACCAUUCUGCGCAGUAAACCAGUGCAGCAGAUUAGAAUGGAAACAAUGGAAUAGUUACCCCAAGUGUAGGAGAACAUCUGUGAAGUGCGGAGGCUGCAUGUGUUCUGCUACAUAUCCUUGCUUUGUGUGGUUGGAAAAGACAACAAGACAAUGCAACAUUUCUGGAGUUCAGAGAUCCCCAUUGGCAGGGAUCCCUUUUAUAAACAUUCUGUUUCUGCCAGCAGAUAAAGAAUUUUCUAAGUCUGGAAAACACUGUCUCUUCUAUAACUUAGUGCCCAUUUCAUUAUAUGAAACACAAUUUGUAUGGUUAAGGCAAUUCCUGGUUUUAAAAUAAAAAAGGUAGGAAAACUAAUUGCUCCAGGUGAGUUAAAAACUCAUCCUCAUGUAUCUGCUGUUACUGUAAUGCAGAUCAUAGUAGUAGCCAUUUAAUUAAGUCCUGUACUGUGUCUCAUGCAGUGGGAUGGGAGGACCACUUACCUUUCCUCUUUGCGAAAUUUCUAUAGCUUAGUGCUAGCACUUUGUGAAUGAAUAGCUUGCAUGCAGAACAUACUGGAGUCACUGCUUUACAGAGAAGCAAAAACUCACUUAGCAAUUGACUGGCAGUAGCUGGUGCAAUGGUCUGCACACUUCCUGCCAGAACGCAUUGUAUUCUUGAAACGUGAGAGCUGCUGCCUUCAUGGGGAGAGCUUCUCCUCAGUAAGUUGCCAUCACAUUUGACUACAGCUUAUAGUCUGGGCUGACUGCCCUUUUUCUUUCCCUUCUAUACACCCAGUUGAAGCACUGGUUCAAGUGCCUAUGGCUUUUUC